rnacentral:rRNA from 1 species
UAGGGAAUCUUCGGCAAUGGGCGGAAGUCUGACCGAGCAACGCCGCGUGAGUGAAGAAGGUUUUUGGAUCGUAAAGCUCUGUUGUUAGAGAAGAACGUUGGUAGGAGUGGAAAAUCUACCAAGUGACGGUAACUAACCAGAAAGGGACGGCUAACUACGUGCCAGCAGCCGCGGUAAUACGUAGGUCCCGAGCGUUGUCCGGAUUUAUUGGGCGUAAAGCGAGCGCAGGCGGUUCUUUAAGUCUGAAGUUAAAGGCAGUGGCUUAACCAUUGUACGCUUUGGAAACUGGAGGACUUGAGUGCAGAAGGGGAGAGUGGAAUUCCAUGUGUAGCGGUGAAAUGCGUAGAUAUAUGGAGGAACACCGGUGGCGAAAGCGGCUCUCUGGUCUGUAACUGACGCUGAGGCUCGAAAGCGUGGGGAGCAAACAGG